AACGAACGCUGGCGGCAGGCUUAACACAUGCAAGUCGAGCGAGACCUUCGGGUCUAGCGGCGGACGGGUGAGUAACGCGUGGGAACGUGCCCUUCUCUACGGAAUAGCCCCGGGAAACUGGGAGUAAUACCGUAUACGCCCUUUGGGGGAAAGAUUUAUCGGAGAAGGAUCGGCCCGCGUUGGAUUAGGUAGUUGGUGGGGUAAUGGCCCACCAAGCCGACGAUCCAUAGCUGGUUUGAGAGGAUGAUCAGCCACACUGGGACUGAGACACGGCCCAGACUCCUACGGGAGGCAGCAGUGGGGAAUCUUAGACAAUGGGGGCAACCCUGAUCUAGCCAUGCCGCGUGAGUGAUGAAGGCCUUGGGGUUGUAAAGCUCUUUCAGCUGGGAAGAUAAUGACGGUACCAGCAGAAGAAGCCCCGGCUAACUCCGUGCCAGCAGCCGCCGCCG
rnacentral:rRNA from 1 species